rnacentral:rRNA from 1 species
CGAACGGUAGCCAAUUACGGUUGGUGAGAGUGGCGAACGGGUGAGUAACACGUAGAAGACCUGCCCUCAGGUGGGGGACAACUUGUGGAAACGCAAGCUAAUACCCCAUAAGCUCACGGGAGUUAGAGAGCCGUGAGAAAAGGUUGAACUGCCUGAGGAUGGUUCUGCGGUCCAUCAGCUAGUUGGUGAGGUAAAGGCUCACCAAGGCGACGACGGAUAGGGGGCCUGAGAGGGUGACCCCCCACACUGGGACUGAGACACGGCCCAGACUCCUACGGGAGGCAGCAGUGAGGAAUAUUGCACAAUGGGCGCAAGCCUGAUGCAGCAACGCCGCGUGGGUGAAGAAGGUUUUCGGAUCGUAAAGCCCUUUUCUGUGUGACGAGGAAGGACGGUAGCACAGGAAUAAGUGUCGGCUAACUACGUGCCAGCAGCCGCGGUAAAACGUAGGACGCAAGCGUUAUCCGGAGUUACUGGGCGUAAAGAGCGCGCAGGCGGAUGAUUAAGUCGUGUAUGAAAGCCCCUGGCUAAACUGGGGGAGGCUAGACGAUACUGGUUGUCUAGAGUGGGUGAGAGGGAUGUGGAAUUCCGCGUGUAGUGGUGAAAUGCGUAGAUAUGCGGAGGAACACCAGAGGCGAAGGCGGCAUCCUGGCACUCAACUGACGCUGAGGC